rnacentral:rRNA from 1 species
CCUACGGGUGGCAGCAGUGGGGAAUAUUGCACAAUGGGGGAAACCCUGAUGCAGCGACGCCGCGUGAGUGAAGAAGUAUCUCGGUAUGUAAAGCUCUAUCAGCAGGAAAGAUAAUGACGGUACCUGACUAAGAAGCCCCGGCUAACUACGUGCCAGCAGCCGCGGUAAUACGUAGGGGGCGAGCGUUAUCCGGAUUUACUGGGUGUAAAGGGAGCGUAGACGGUGAGACAAGUCUGAAGUGAAAGCCCGGGGCUCAACCCCGGGACUGCUUUGGAAACUGCCUGACUGGAGUGCUGGAGAGGCAAGCGGAAUUCCUAGUGUAGCGGUGAAAUGCGUAGAUAUUAGGAAGAACACCAGUGGCGAAGGCGGCUUGCUGGACAGUAACUGACGUUGAGGCUCGAAAGCGUGGGGAGCAAACAGGAUUAGAUACCCCGGUA